GACGAACGCUGGCGGCGUGCUUAACACAUGCAAGUCGAACGAAGUGGCGAACGGGUGAGUAAUACGUGAGUAACCUGCCCUCCUUUUGGGAUACGCCUUGGAAACGGGGUCUAAUACCGAAUAAAGGGGGAUGGGCUCGAGGCCUUUCAGCUUGUUGGUGGGGAGAUGGCCUACCAGGGCGGUGACGGGUAGCCGGCCUGAGAGGGUGAUCGGCAACAUUGGGACUGAGAUACGGCCCAGACUCCUACGGGAGGCAGCAGUGGGGAAUAUUGGACAAUGGGCGAAAGCCUGAUCCAGCCAUGCCGCGUGUGUGAAGAAGGUCUUCGGAUUGUAAAGUACUUUAAGUUGGGAGACGUUACCAACAGAAUAAGCACCGGCUAACUUCGUGCCAGCAGCCGCGGUAAUAC
rnacentral:rRNA from 1 species